GGGCCGGUCGUCUAGCCUGGUAGUGAUGCCUCUUUGGCAUAGAGGAGGUCGUGGGUUCGAAUCCCACCCGGUCCA
rnacentral:tRNA from 1 species